rnacentral:rRNA from 1 species
GGUUAAGCGACUAAGCGUACACGGUGGAUGCCCUGGCAGUCAGAAGGCGAUGAAGGACGUGCUAAUCUGCGAAAA